rnacentral:lncRNA from 7 species
AAAACUUUUCAAAAUCCAAGCGCCCCAAAGGCCGUUUUCGAACCCGACGCUGCCGUCCGUCCGAUGGGAACGAUCUGCCGGCGCCAGGCGGCCGAGGCCGACGACGGCGAACACGUCUGGGCCGCCCCUCCGGUGCCCUAGCCCCCACGCCCACUAUAAAAUCAGCUCCAUUUCUGGACACUCUCAUUUCAUUUACCACACCCUGCUCUCGCUCUUGUUGUGACGGUCGAUUCGCUUGUACAAGGUAAUGAUGUGGAAUGCUUUGUUGCUUGUCUCACCUAUGUGUGAUUAUGUUUUUUUU